rnacentral:lncRNA from 1 species
GCUUAUUGCUUUUUGUUUGUUGCUUUUACAAUGUAUCUAGUUAUCUUUUACUGUGCGCUGUCCAUUGUUUCUGGUGAUGAUCUGUAAGACUCAGAUAAUGGCCAAAUUGAAGUUACUUCCCCGGACAAGGCCUUGGAAGCCCGCCUCAGGCUAAGACCCGUCUUUAGAGCUUGAGCCGUCUUCACAGACUCAGAUACUUAAAGUGAGACCAUCUUCAUUUUGGUGCCCAGAGUGCAAAGUGAAACUCCGACUCUCUAGCACAAGCCCAGGUCCUGUUUUCCGUCCUGGCUGGGAGAUGGACACAGGAGCAGACUCAGCCUCAUUUUCUCCCUAGGGAAAGCCACAAGAAUCAAUAGGUUCUUGGCACCAGGAGGCCCAGCAAGCUAAGGAGUGUGUGCCACCAUGAGGAGCUUCUCGGUGAUCAGUGGAAAUAGGAAUGGAGCUCUCCUUUCUGGAUGUGCAGGGUAAAUUUGAGAUAAAGAGUCACAGUAAAUGGUAUGAUACUGCAUGUGAG